GAUGAACGCUGGCGGCGUGCCUAAUACAUGCAAGUCGAACGAACAGACGCGGAGCUUGCUCCUCUCACGUUAGCGGCGGGCGUGUGUGUAACACGUGUAUAACCUACCUAUCUGUCUGGGAUAACUUCGAGAAACGGGCGCUAAUACCGUAGAAUAUCUUGCACCGCAUGGUUCAAUAGUGAAAGACGGUUUUGCUGUCACUUAUAGCUGGAUCCGCGCCGGAUUAGCUAGUUGGUAAGGUAACGGCUUACCACGGCAAGGAGGCGUAGCCGAACGGCGUGGGUGAUAGGCCACCUUGGAAGGGGGCCGGGGUCCAGGGUCCUGAGGGAGGCAGCAGUAGGGAAUCUGCGGCAAUAGGCGAAAGCAUUGCAGAGCAAGGCCGAGUGAGUGACGAAAGUCUUCGGAUCGUAAAGCCCUCUUAUUGGGGAUAAACAAAUUUGUCCGUAGAUAUGCAGGUCUUGACGGUAACUAAUAAGAAAGCCCCGGCUAACUACGUG
rnacentral:rRNA from 1 species